UACGUAGGGGGCAAGCGUUGUCCGGAAUCAUUGGGCGUAAAGCGCGUGUAGGCGGCCCGAUAAGUCCGCUGUGAAAGUCCAGGGCUCAACCCUGGGAUGCCGGUGGAUACUGUCGGGCUCGAGUCCGGAAGAGGCGAGUGGAAUUCCUAGUGCAGCGGUGAAAUGCGCAGAUAUCAGGAGGAACACCAAUGGCGAAGGCAGCUCGCUGGGACGUGACUGACGCUGAGACGCGAAAGCGUGGGGAGCAAACAGG
rnacentral:rRNA from 1 species